rnacentral:rRNA from 1 species
GAUGAACGCUGGCGGCGUGCCUAAUACAUGCAAGUCGAGCGAACGGACGAGAAGCUUGCUUCUCUGAUGUUAGCGGCGGACGGGUGAGUAACACGUGGAUAACCUACCUAUAAGACUGGGAUAACUUCGGGAAACCGGAUCUAAUACCGGAUAAUAUUUUGAACCGCAUGGUUCAAAAGUGAAAGACGGUCUUGCGGUCACUUAUAGCUGGAUCUGCGCUGCAUUAGCUAGUUGGUAAGGUAACGGCUUUCCAAGGCAACGAUGCAUAGCCGACCUGAGAGGGUGAUCGGCCACACUGGAACUGAGACACGGUCCAGACUCCUACGGGAGGCAGCAGUAGGGAAUCUUCCGCAAUGGGCGAAAGCCUGACGGAGCAACGCCGCGUGAGUGAUGAAGGUCUUCGGAUCGUAAAACUCUGUUAUUAGGGAAGAACAUAUGUGUAAGUAACUGUGCACAUCUUGACGGUACCUAAUCAGAAAGCCACGGCUAACUACGUG